UACGUAGGGGGCAAGCGUUGUCCGGAUUUACUGGGUGUAAAGGGUGCUCAGGUGGCUUUGUAAGUCAGCGGUGAAAUCUUAGAGCUCAACUCUGAAGCUGCCGUCGAUACUACUUGGCUUGAGUAUGGAAGAGGUUGAUGGAAUUUCAGGUGUAGCAGUGAAAUGCGUAGAUAUCUGAAAGAACACCAGUGGCGAAGGCGGUCAACUGGUCCAUUACUGACACUAAAGCACGAAAGCGUGGGUAGCGAACAGG
rnacentral:rRNA from 1 species